CACUUGAUCAGUGAGCUUAUUAUGUUGAACUACCAGUCACAUGGGACAGUACUAGCCCAUGGGUUCAGUCAGAGGAAAUAAGGUGGAAUUGAGAAUAAUAGCUCUAGGGCUGGUCCGUCAGGGAAGGCAGCAAAGGCUUAGCUAUCAAGUUUAUCUUGUAUAGCCUCCUUUUAGUCAUGUGAUGAGUAUUGUAUAUUGCCACAUAUAGCUCUUUUUGCAUACUCUGAUUUAAUCGAGACUUAUGGUCUUAGUUACUUUUGUUGCUGGGUUGCUUGGGUCUGUAAGCUGUGAACCCACAAUAACUUUUGAAAGUAGUUGACUAUUGUUGGUUUGGACAAAUUUUAUUCUGAAAAUAUCAUAUUAUGGGCUUAGAGAUGAAUUGUGAUGUGCUGGGCUUUGCAAAGCCCAAGGCCCAGUUAUUGUGAAAUAUUAUUAGUUACGGUAUUCAUAUAAUUUGCUUAGUAAAACUCUUAUAAUCAUGAUAGACAUUUUGAAUAAUUAGUUCAGGUCUUUUCUAUCA